UCUGAUUAAAGGCAGCUCAAUGGUUCUAAUGAAGCUCCACCUUGUUUGUCCAUGUAGAGAGGAGCUCCUCCCAUCGACGCCACACAGUCCACCAGGAGCAGGCAGCCAUACCUGUAGUCCAGGUUAGCCCUGAGCUACGACCAUAGCCUGGAAAACACUGCUGUAUGUAUAUGUGGUGAAUGAUAGCGUGCAGCGUCGCUCCAUACUGGUGGCAGAGGUCCCCGAUGCCGUCCAGGGCGUGAAGGACCCCAGUCGAGGACUCUCCAUGGGCCAGAAACAUUAGGGCGGGCCGGUGCUUCGACAGGGCCUGCGUUGGAUUAACAAAACGACUCAAACAUAUGAACAUGCAUGCAUUUAUGGUUCUCUUGAUUUCUAUAUUUUAGAAAUAAUGGAAUACUUGAUAGAGAUGAUGAUGAAAUAUGCUUAAAUGAAAACCGACCUUUUUAAUUUCGUCGUUCGUGAAGCAACCACCAGGGGGUGCUGAAAUCGUGUUUACUUUCGCACCUGUAAAGCGGUCCAAAAAUAAGCAGCCACAAAUGGCAUCCUAACAGCACUGUGACCGGGAGUAGGCUAAACCACGAAUCAUCCGAACAAAAACAAAAACAAAAAAUAAAAUUAAAAAAAGUCACUUCACCUAUCCUCUCCGCCAUGUCCGCGGCCCGCUCUCCCCAGAUCCCGUUGACCGCUACCAGGACGCCGUCUCCCGGCUCCAGGGCGUUGAAGAGGGCGCACUCCAUGGCCGUGUGGCCGGUGCCGCUGACCGCGAACGUCAAGUUGUUUUGGGUUUGAAACGCGUACUGGAUGCCGCUCUUGAUGUCACUCAUUAUCUGGGACACACAAGAAGUCAUCAAAUCGGUGGACAUUUAACAUUUUUUAAAUCACAAAAAAGUCGUCUGUAAAGAUAAAAUGUUAAAGACCAUUCCCUAUCGAUAUAAGUCCCCCCACCAACCUCAAACAUCUCUGGGUGCAUGUGCCCGAUGAUGGGGUUGGCCCCGGCCUCCAGGAUCCGCGGGGGGACAUUGGAGGGCCCCGGACCGAACAUGAACCGGUGCGGGGCCACGAAUGGUUUGUUCAGACAUGCGGGCUUCGGGACUGACAGAGACGACAUGGUUCCUGAGCGGCGAUGGACUAGACGA